AGCAGAAUGAUAGAUAUUGCUACUUCAGAAGAAUUAAUUACAGGCAUCAGUUAGGUAGAUGUAGUUAAAAAAAUUCUAUGUUUACAAUUUACUGAUGACAUAGUGGUUUUCUACGAGGCUACCAAGGACCAAAUCAACAUUUUGAAACUCAUACUCUACUCCUUUGAGUUGAUGACUAGGCCAAAGAUAAAUUUUGAGAAGACAAAAUUGUUAGGGAUCGAUUUAUGCUUCGAGGAAGUCAGUGGCUAUGCGAGGAUUCUAGGUUGUCAGCCUUUUGA
rnacentral:lncRNA from 1 species